rnacentral:rRNA from 1 species
CGGGCUUAAAUUGCAACAGAAUAUAUUGGAAACAGUAUAGCCGUAAGGCUGUUGUGA